rnacentral:rRNA from 1 species
UACGUAGGGGGCUAGCGUUGUCCGGAAUCAUUGGGCGUAAAGAGCGUGUAGGCGGUCCGGUAAGUCCGCUGUGAAAGUCGGGGGCUCAACCCUCGAAAGCCGGUGGAUACUGUCGGGCUAGAGUACGGAAGAGGCGAGUGGAAUUCCUGGUGUAGCGGUGAAAUGCGCAGAUAUCAGGAGGAACACCUAUUGCGAAGGCAGCUCGCUGGGACGUUACUGACGCUGAGACGCGAAAGCGUGGGGAGCAAACAGG